UACGUAGGCAGCGAGCGUUGUUCGGAAUUACUGGGCGUAAAGAGUGUGUAGGCGGUGCUCUAAGUUCGGUGUGAAAUCUCCUGGCUCAACUGGGGAGGGUGCGCCGGAAACUGGAGUGCUUGAGCGUGGGAGAGGAAAGCGGAAUUCCUGGUGGUAGCGGUGAAAUGCGUAGAGUAUCAGGAGGAACACCUGUGGUGUAGACGGCUUCUGGACCAUAGCUGACGCUGAGACACGAAAGCGUGGGUAGCAAACAGG
rnacentral:rRNA from 1 species